rnacentral:lncRNA from 1 species
UUUGCCCAAGGUUUCACAGCUAGGCAGAGAUGUGAGAUUUGAGUACGGGAGGCCCCUGCGGCCCACAUUUGUAACCCAUACUAUUCUGAGUGAUUAAGACCUGAAACUUGUGCAGGGGUAGGGGAUCAGAGGAAGAUUCAUUCUAACUAGAGGAAAAGUAAACCAGUGUCAGAGCUAUUGGGAUUUGAAGGGGCUUCGAAACAUCAAAGGUCUUGAGAGCAGGAAGAUUCCCACCUUUUUCAGAGGUUACCUAGGAUAAUAGUCUUUCUCUCCAUUGAUUGAUUGAUUGAUUGAGAUGGAGUCUUGCUCUGUUGCCCAGGCUGGAGCACAGUGGUGCAGUCUCAGCUCACUGCAACCUCCACCUUCCAGGCUCAAGCGAUUCUCCUGCCUCAGUCUCCCUAAUAGCUGGGAUUACAGGCCCCCACCACUGCACCCAGCUAAUUUUUGUAUUUUAGUAGAGACAGGGUUUUGCCACGUUGACCAGGCUGGUCUCAAUCUCCUGACCUCAGGUGAUCUGCCCGCCUUGGCCUCCCUAAGUGCUAGGAUUACACGUGUGUGCCACUGAGCCUGGCCAUAAUAGUCUUUAUCUCCCUAAGCACAUGCAGGUGAUUCCUGAUAGGCUCCUCCCAGGCCCCUGCAGCCCAGGGUGCUCAGGCAGGGCAGGCAGAAUGCAGUUGGGGAUGGAAUUGUCCAGGAGGGAGGCCUAGACUUUGGAAGGCCUUGAAAGCUGGCUGAGUAGUUCCAGGUUGGGGGAGGGUCGUAACUGGUGUUAGAUCUGGGCUCAAAGUGGGGUGAGUGGGAAGCUAAAGAUGGUCCAGCAGAAGACAGGGCUGGACCUGGGAAGGGGUCAUGGGGUGGUAGAAGGGUGAGGGACACCUCACUGACUUCACGGCUGACCACGUGUGAGUAGCAGGGAGGAAGGCGUCCCCAGGAUCCCAAGGUCUGCCCCUCGCCCAGAACAGCCAUCCUCCCCCUUAUCCAUCAGCUUGCUCUGUAUGUUCAUUCAUUGAUACUACAAACCAGGCGAAAUCUGGGUGGUGUUGAGCAAGGAAGGGGCAGGGUCUGUCCUAUCCCAGGCAGUGUAAAGAUGCCCCUGGAGUGGGUUGAGCAAACUGGAGAGCCCAGACCCCACAGGAACAGUCCCUUCACUCCAUCUGGGACAUUUGAAACUCCUCCCUUUUUGUUCACCGGUGGAAUCCAGUAGGGGGCAUACCCAUUGCUCCUCCCCAGGCCCCCUUCCACCUCUGGGGUGUCCUGGCCACACUCACUGCUCGGUGCCAUGUGGAGGAGAUAACAUUUCCUUCCGCCCAUGCCCCACUAUCUGGCCCCAGCAUGUUUUAAGUGAGGAUAAAAGUCAAGUUCUCUGUCCCCACCUUCACAGGGUUGUCACUUCCCAACAUCCCUAAGAGGUGGACCAGGUAGGUGUCCUGUUUAAGACUUGGAAAUGAAGGCUUGGAAUCUUCUAGGGUUCCAUCUCCAGCCAUGGCCACCCAACAAAGAGUCUACAAGCAGGCUAAGUUUUGGCCUGAGUGACUCCUCAUCAUCUCAUGUCCCCCCAGACCCUAGAGCAGCAGGCAGCUUGGGCUAAGACAGACGGCCCAUUGUUCAAGUCCUGACUCUUCUGUCACUUAAGCUCCAUGGCCUUCCCCUCUCUGAUCCCCAGUUGGCUCACCAGUUACUGGGAGGUUAAUCCCUCCCUCCCUAAGCAGAAGCAGAUGAUUUAUGCUGGGUCAUGGAGCAGGCUCCUCCUAGGCCUCUACAGCAGAUAACCCAGAUGGAGCUCAUCACCACACGUGCAGAGAAAGCCACGGUGUGAGAAGGUUGGGCACCUGAGCCAGGGCCUUCGGACAGCCCUCUGCCUGAGAUGCAGCUCACUCCCGUCCCAGAACAGUCCCCCCACCGGAAGCCCCCACCACCUCAGCGGAAACAGGCAGCCGGACAGAAAGCAGGUUUUCAUGCCAAUAAUUUAUUGAACGGAGGUCUGUACACAGGCAAACCUUACUGUGGAAACUAAGACAUCAGGAGCUCUCUCCACUCCCCUGGCCCUCCAGGGUGGGGUGAGGAGGGAGUAGACCUUGGGGGCAGAGGACAGGAGGGGAGUUACAGCUGUAGGAGGGGCGGGGCCAGGUUGGACGGUGCGAAUCGACGUUUUCUUUAAGAAAAAAAUUAUAACAAUCUAUUUACACCCGGGGGCCAGGGAAGGGAAGAGGAGACGGGCUGGGCUGGUUCUAUUUACAAGGGACACAGGAGGGGAGGGGGUCUGGAGGAGGUGGAGGUCUGGGGGAGGGGAGGGGGCCAAGGGGGUAGGAGGUCCUCAUCCCCCCAACACCCUGUCCUUCUCUUCCCUCCCCACAACCAGUUAAAAUCCUCUUAAAAAGCCCACCACAGGGGUGAGGCUGGUGAGGGAGGGACUGGAGGUGGGGACAGGGACUCAUUUACCUCUGCCCUCUAGUCUAGGGGCCCAGCCAGGGCAGGAGCUUGAUGGGCUAUGGCCCCCCUUCCCAGCCCCUCUUGGGGCUCCCAGAUGGAAGUGGAAGGGUGCUUGGUGGGGCCCUCAGGAGGAGUUAGUGAGGGUAGGUGUGGCAUCGGUCGACUGCCAGUCUGAGCUGGUCGGAGUCUCAGUUAAAGCUGGAGGGAGGCAGGGAAGGAGCAGAGUUAGCCUUUGCCUUUCAGACACCCCUUCGCCCAACCCAAAAGUAGGAAUUCUCUUGUCAUAGAUGCUACAUUAAAAGUUACAAGCUGUUACUUUAGGUGAAGGGUUGCAAACUCAAGUGCUAAAGGGCCACGAUAGUAACUGAGUGACACACCAGAGUGCCAGGCUCCAUAUAAGGCGGUGGCUGGGCUGGGCACAGUGGCUCACGCCUGUAAUCCCAGCACUUUGGGAGGCUGAGGUGGGCAGAUCACAAGGUCAGCAGUUCGAGACCAGCCUGGCCAACAUGGUGAAACUCCAUGUCUACUCAAAAUACAAAAAUAAGCCAGGCAUGGUGGUAUGAGCGUGUAAUCCCAGGUACUUAGGAGGCUGAGGCAGGAGAAUCACUUGAACCCAGGAGGCAGAAGUUGGAGUGAGCCGGGAUUGUGCCACUGCACUCCAGCCUGGGUGACAGAAAAAGACUCCGUCUAAAAAAUAUAAAGGGCGCCCACUGUCUACUGUCAGUAGGAUGGGCGGGCCCAUUGCUGCCCAAUCUGAUUUUCUUCCCCAAGAGAAACAGGAAAUCUGAAUUUUUACAUAAAAUAGCCCCAUUUUUAAACGUGGACACCAUGGCCAGGCACAGCGGUUCACGCCUGUAAUCCCAACACUUUAGGAGGCCAAGCGGGAAAAUCACCUGAAGUUCAAGACCAGUCUGGCCAACAUGGUGAAACCUCAUCUCUAGUAAAAAUACAAAAAUUAGCCAGGCGUAGUGGUGUGUGUCUGUAAUCCCAGCUACUCGGAGGCUGAGGCAGGAGAAUUGCCUGAGCCCAGGAGGCGGAGAUUGCAGUGAGCCGAGAUCGAGCCACUGCACUGCAGCCUGGGUGGCGAGUGAAACUCUAUUGCACAAAAAAAAAAAAAACAAACUUGGGCAACGAAUUCAACUUUUUGUUUGUGUUCAGGCCAGACGUUAUUUCUCUGGCUUUCCCAUUGGCAUUAAACACAUUUAAAC